GUGAAUUUGGAGGAGAGAACACGGACCUCUAUAGAGGUGAUGGUGAAAUGCCUUCUCUUUUUCUUGUAGAAGAGAACUAAAGGUAAGGGCAUAUUUUUCUCCUUGGAAAUUGCAGAGGGAUAAAGAAACAAAGCAGAUGCUGUUGUUUGUAUUUUAAAUGCUGUGGUUUAGACCAGAGAGUAAAGUAAUUGUGUUUUAACUUCAUAGACCUUGGAUCUUUACAAAUAUUGAAGAAGUGGGUGCCACUGAGGGGGAAAAAAGUUUGAAAACUGUAUGAAGGAAAUUCUGUCUCUUUUAGUUUAGUAUGUUUUUGAAGGCAGUGCUAUUUUAAAAGAAUUUUAAUAUCAGAUGCUGCCUGCAUUGGAAUUAUAAAUUACUUUUAUUUGUGUUGUCUCUUAGGUACCUACAGCUUGAUGCAAACUUGAAACUCCUCAUUUCUUACAGCCGUUUUGGAAUAUGUGGCGGAUCAGUGUUAGCUGGUAUGAUGAUUUCUUUGACUCAAAGGCCCUAGGUAGGUAGUGAUUUUAAUUUUGUUUCACUGCAUGUGUUUUAUCACGAAUGUUUCUGUUAUGUAUUCAGUAGUUACAAACUUUGCUUAUAACCUUUGUAGCUCCCUUCUGUCUAAAAGCUAGUAAUUCAGACUGAGUAGCUGAGCGUUGGUGCUAUGAGUCCCAGAAGUCUUGUAAGAUAUUCUAAUUCAACAGUCAGAUAUCGAUUUAGGAAAGCUGCUCCUGUGUCUGCUCUUUGGCUGUAGUUGUCUGCCUGCUCAUUUGUAAAUGAUGUCCAUUGAAAAUUAAACGCAAAACGUGGGUAGACAAGUAACAGUCUGGGGGUUGUUUUGUGCCAUUCUAAGAAAGUGAGCCCUACAUAAGAUGAAACACAAGUUGUUUAUGGUUGUUGGUUUUCGGGUUUGGCUUUGUUCUGUUUUCAGUGCAACGAUUCAUUUAGGAAAAAAAAAGAUCUUUAAAAUGAGAAGCAGCACUGCUAGCGAGAGCUUGAAUCUGCCGCAGUAGCCUGCUGGGGGAGCUGCAGCCCAUUGGCGUCGGCUGACCCGGAGAUCAC
ensembl:lncRNA